UCCCUGGUGGUCCAGUGGCUAAAACUCUGCACUCCCAAUCCAGUGGACCCGGGUUCAAUCCCUGGUCAGGGAA
rfam:Ovis aries breed Texel chromosome 17, whole genome shotgun sequence.